AACGAACGCUGGCGGCAGGCUUAACACAUGCAAGUCGAGCGCCCCGCAAGGGGAGCGGCAGACGGGUGAGUAACGCGUGGGAAUCUACCCAUCUCUACGGAAUAACGCAUGGAAACUUGGGGUAAUACCGGAUAAGCCCUUCGGGGGAAAGAUUUAUCGCCAUAGGAUGGGCCCGCGUCGGAUUAGCUAGUUGGUGGGGUAACGGCCUACCAAGGCGACGAUCCGUAGCUGGUCUGAGAGGAUGAUCAGCCACACUGGGACUGAGACACGGCCCAGACUCCUACGGGAGGCAGCAGUUGGGAAUAUUGGACAAUGGGCGCAAGCCUGAUCCAGCCAUGCCGCGUGAGUGACGAAGGCCUUCGGGUUGUAAAGCUCUUUUGGCGGGGACGAUAAUGACGGUACCCGCAGAAUAAGCCCCGGCUAACUUCGUGCCAGCAGCCGCGGUAACAC
rnacentral:rRNA from 1 species